CGCACCGCCCCUUCCGCCGCGCCGCCCCCCGGCCUUCCGUCUGCUCCUUCGCCACCGUGAGCUCCCUCACCGAUUGCUCCUCACGGGGCUCCCCUCCAAACCGGGCUCGUUCCCCGGGCUCCUGCUGCCACGCUCCCCAUCUGGCACCUUCCCACAUCUCCACCUGAAAAAUACUGCUUCAAAUACGUGACAACAAAAUAUGAAGUUGUAAAAUAAUAUUUAAUUUUAUCAGAAAAUGUACAGGUUUGAGCAGCAAUUCAGAUCUAUGUAUUAUACAGUGAACCAGGCUACAGUUUUGAACGCAACAGACAUAUUAUGGAAAGAUUCAAAGAGCAAUAUGAGAAACAAAAAGAAACAAUUAUUUUUUUCUUGCAGGUUUUUUGGGUUUUUUUCUUUGUACUUUUUUUUUUAAUGAACAGAACCUUGUUUAUGAGCAAAGUAGUUACUGACAAAAAAAAAUAUCUUAAUGAAGUAUUUUCCCCAAUGGUACAAACACACAGAAACAGCCUAGUGUAAUGUAAUAUAAAAUACUUCAGUCCUAUUUUUUUUUCUCACUUCUGGAUUGUUGAAGUUAAUGUUCAAA